CCUACGGGAGACAGCAGUGGGAAAUAUUGGACAAUGGGGGGAACCCUGAUCCAGCGACGCCGCGUGAGUGAAGAAGUAUUUCGGUAUGUAAAGCUCUAUCAGCAGGGAAGAAAGAAAUGACGGUACCUGACUAAGAAGCCCCGGCUAACUACGUGCCAGCAGCCGUGGUAAUACGUAGGGGGCAAGCGUUAUCCGGAUUUACUGGGUGGAAAGGGAGCGUAGACGGCGAUGCAAGUCUGAAGUGAAAGGCGGGGGCCCAACCCCCGGACUGCUUUGGAAACUGUAUGGCUGGAGUGCAGGAGAGGCAGGCGGAAUUCCUAGUGUAGCGGUGAAAUGCGUAGAUAUUAGGAGGAACACCAGUGGCGAAGGCGGCCUGCUGGGCUUUAACUGACGCUGAGGCUCGAAAGCGUGGGGAGCAAACAGGAUUAGAUACCCCAGUAGUC
rnacentral:rRNA from 1 species